AGACAGUUCUAUAUUCCAGAGCUCGCACUACCCUAAACAUCCACCUAUUCCCCCUCCUCUUUUGGACUACAACCUUCCUCUUCAUUUUUACCAUAGAAAAAAUUAAAGAUAGCUAAAAGAUCCAACCAGAGUGAUGAAGUAUUUUAUAGUCCAAUUACUCCAAUUUUAAUAACAUGAGAAACUUUGCUACAAUAUUGUGAAGUAAAGGAUGAUGCAUUUGGCAUGACCCCAGCUAUGUACAAAUAUAUGUAACCAGAAGGAUCUACACCAACCCAUUGACAGCACAGUGGACCCUCAAGUUACGACCAGUCUCACACAUGAACAACUUGGGCUAUGACCAGAAUUUUAGUUCUAACUUACGAGCAAAGUCUUGAGUUAUGACCCAAGUGCCGGUCUUUCCUGUGUGGGGUUAAUUAAGAAAUCCUGGAGCCUUGUCUCUCUAAGGACACUGAGACCUGCCUAUAAGAAAAUGAGGCCUAAAAUUAUACAGGAGAGAGACUCUGAAGGCUGUGUAGAGAGGCCUGAGCCUUCAGUUGACCCUGUGGUUGAUGACACUGUCACUAUAGCAGAGUCCAUAAGCUCGCAGGUACACAGUGGAGAUGUUGAGGAACUGGUGUAGGAACAGUAGAGGAACUGUCUAUAGAGGAACUUCAGCAGCUUCUGGAUGAGCAGCAGGGAAUGGCAGCUGAGGACCCUUUCUGAAGAGGAGGGGGAGCAUCAACAAUCAGUGCAGCAAUGUUCUUCUGCAAUAAAGGAAAUCCUGAAAAACUGGACAGAGCUACACACAUUUGUAGAGAAGACCCAGACAGAGGAAAAGCUAAUUGCUGCAUUCACUUGCUUAAUGACGAUGUCAUGUCAUGCUACAGAACAGUGUUACAGACAGAAGCAGACAACCUUAGACCAGCUUUUAAAUCUGAAAAGGUUGAAACCUACUGAGUCAGAGCAAGUCCUAGUGAGCUACAGACCCUCCCAAGGAGAGAAACGACACCAGAGAGCCAGACUUCUGAUGCUCUUCUCCUUCCAAAGAGUUACCACCUUCCGUUCAUCCUCCCUUCCUACAAGCCAGAGAUGUCAACUUGAAAGGUUGAGGUUUGGAAGCCCUAAGACUGCGAUUUACGUGACACUUCCAAUGCCCUGAAGAAGAAGAAGAAGAAGGAAACCUUGAUGUGGCAGAGACAGUCUUGGCUGCCCCACCCACCCCAUCCCUGAGGUCAGCGGUGAUCCACCAUGUUCUCCCACUGAGCUCCGGGACAGGCUGGGCCUCUGGAGCCACCCUUCCUGCUCAUCUACCUUCCAGCCGAGACCCACAAGGCUUGGGCAUUUAGGAGCAGCUCCUUGGCUCGGCUGUCUAAUGAUGUGGGCAUAAUGCAAAAAGUGCCCUUUGCCUUCUCCCUCGGCUGCAAACAGAGCAGGCUGGAGGUCUCUGUGGAUAUUGGGACUGGAAAUAUAGCAGAAUUGUUCUUAUGUCCUCUAUGCUCAGUCUUCGUGUCUUUUUGGUCAUGUGACUACCCUUUUGAGAAAGAUUGGAACAAAAGAAGUGAUUGAGUGGCAGUGGGUCGGUCUCUGCGUGGGGCUAACUGUUGGCAGAUUUUAUUAUUGGAUAAUACAAAGCCAAUCUAACCUUCAGUCUUUCCUUCUUUUAACACUGGAUCUCCAGAUGUAUUUCUAGCUGAAGCAAAGUAGAAAUUGCUACCAUUUUCUUUCUACUUGAAAUGCAAAUGAACAAGUCAAGGUAAAAAUGAGCAAGUUCGGUGAGGUGGGUCUUCUAUCACAUG
ensembl:lncRNA